UACGUAGGGGGCCAGCGUUGUCCGGAUUCAUUGGGCGUAAAGCGCGUGUAGGCGGCCAGGUAGGUCCGAUGUGAAAUCUGAAGGCUCAACCUCCAGCGGUCAUUGGAAACCAUCUGGCUAGAGUCCGGGAGAGGUGAGUGGAACUGCGAGUGUAGAGGUGAAAUUCGUAGAUAUUCGCAAGAACACCAGUGGCGAAGGCGGCUCACUGGCCCGGUACUGACGCUGAGGUGCGAAAGCGUGGGGAGCAAACAGG
rnacentral:rRNA from 1 species